rnacentral:lncRNA from 1 species
UUAAGAUUAGAUGUCACCCAUUUACUUUCUAAGUUAUCAUUAAUGUAGAACGCAGCGGAAGUAUUCGUUCGUACCUUUUUCGGAAGCGAUUUGCGCAACAACGCGAUGAGCCCGGAUCGUUUAGAUUGAUUCACGUGUCCUCGGAUCGUCCUUGAAUGUCUUCUCACGCUCCACGAACUCGCGGUAGAUCGAACUACAAACGAGCGCGAUCGCAAAUCCACCGUGCAAGUCCCUCUAGAAUAAUAGGUCAAUGGAGGAUGUGGUUUCUCGCUAUUAUUUUCUUAUUCUCUCUCUGUUUCCGUUCUUUUCGUGUAUACCGUUAUGUGGGAUCGCCCGCAUAUUUAUAAGGAAUUUCAAAAUCCUAAUAGCGUUAGAGAUAAGGCCAAAUCGGUUAUUAUUUGUUAUCCUAAUAUGAUUAGAUUUAUCUCUAAUUAGCUUUCCAAUUUGAAAGCGAGAUUAAUCCUAAUCCAAUUAGAUAACAUAAUAUCCGUCGGAUCGAACCCGCUUAUGGGCGUACCCGAUUCGAUUUAACCGAAUGCCAACAUCUCCCACUCGCACAUGACGGGAUCGAUGCCAUCGUAACCACUUCCUCAACAUCACACCACUAUUAAUUCUAUUCAUACAGGAAAAUGAACAGUGCGACCGCCGAGUCAACCUGCAUUUUGGGAGCUCUAUACUAGAAACCGCAUCCGGCCAGCAUAGAGACAUCAACCCUCAAAAAAGAAAAAAUAUUAGACUCGUGAUGCCCUAGACCAUUGAAUUACAUCAGGUUCAGCAUCUCUAAUCCCUCGAAGAGCCAUGCUAACCUCUGUUGCGCACAUUAUGACACUAUACUCAUGAUUGUUUCGCUAUACUGAAGCGAUACAACCUGUCGACAAUGAGUCAAAGUGUUUUAAUGUAAUUCAACUAGUCUUCCUUGAGCCCUCAUGCCACUGAGUUGAGAACUGAUUGCUUUCCCAGCAAUGCCCCGUAAAGCCGCAUCACUCAUAGCCGUAGGAAACAUGCCAAAGUAGCAACAUCAAUUCUUUCACUUAAUGACAUAGUCAAAAGUCACUAAGGGCAUCUAACAUAUAUGGGACAUCGUCUCAAAAUAAUGUCCGUAAGAACUCACACGAUGAGGAAGCAGGGAUCCAUUCACUCAUCUUCUUUAUUUAGUCGCCCAGCACAUGUAGUAUGAAAUACAUGCUAUGACAGAGAAUCCAAUAAGCGUAUGUCUUUCUCAAUGUCAUACGGAUCUUAGCUCAGUCACUCCCAGAGUGUCUAGCCUGAGUUCUCCAUUUGCUCGCUAUCUCAAGCGUCAAACGGUGAGCUCACAUCCGGCUCUCAAUAUGCAGGCCAUACGAAUCGUGGGACUAUUCGUAUGCGGUCUCAUUAAUGACCUCAUCUUGGUGCCAACCAAGGCGGCUUCCAUUAAUGCCUCAAUUUUCGCUCGCUCUCUACAGCGCCGAAAAGAAUGAUUGCCCGUGUGAGAGGGCCAAUCAGCCUGUGACAUACUAUCAAUCAGUUUAAUAAUAAUGCACGUGUACUAAUUUUACCAAAUAUCUUUUUCAGAAUAAUAAUUUGUAAUUAAAUAACCAAGAAAUUACAAAAAAAUAAUCGACUGUCUACACAAUCAAAUCCUACGGAGUCCAAGAGCUUUAACAUGAGCCAAAAAAGAAUCUCUAACAAUAGGCUUAGUCAGAGGAUCUGCCACCAUGCGACUCGUAGAGAUGUGUUCCAGGAUUAUUUCUUUCUGCGCCACUGCUUCACGAACAAAGUGAUACUUUAAGUCGAUGUGCUUUGUCUUGCCAUGAUAUUUCGGGUCCUUCGUGUAUGCAAUCGCUGCCAUACUGUCACAAUAGAUCGUCACAGGAACGGAAGUACAAGCGACAAUCCCAAUAUCUCGAAGAAACCUCCUCAACCAGAUAGCCUCCUGGGCUGCUGCAGAACACGCCACGAACUCCGCCUCCAUGGUGGAAAGAGCUAUACAGGUCUGUUUCUUACUACUCCAAGUUAUGGCGCCAUUGCCAAGUAAGAAUGCAUAUCCUGAGGUCGACUUACGCUCAUCUAGGUCACCAGCCCAAUCCGCAUCGCUAUAACCGAUGAGACGUAAAUCCGUACCUUGAUAGCACAGCACAUAAUCUAUCGUACCUCUGAGGUAACGAAGUAUUCUUUUAACAGCCUUCCAGUGGUCCAAUCCCGGAUUGGACUGAAAACGGCUAACCAAGCCCACGGCAUAGCAUAUAUCAGGCCGAGUACACAUCAUAGCAUACAUCAGGCUCCCGACCGCAUUAGCAUAUGGAAUCCGAUUCAUCUUGUCCUUCUCUUCAGAAGUUUUAGGGCACUGUUUAAGGUUCAAACUCUCACCUUUAGCAAUAGGAGUGUCAAUGGGUUUGCAAUUUUGCAUCUGAAAUCGUUCUAAAACUUUUCUUAGGUAAGUCUCUUGAGACAGACCUAAAAGUUUCUUUGAACGAUCUCGUAGGAUCUUAACUCCGAGCACAUAAUUCGCUUCACCCAUGUCCUUCAUUUCAAAAUUAGAGGACAGCCACGUCUGAGUGGCGACAAUCAUCUCCUUAUUAUUCCCGGCCAAUAAGAUGUCAUCCACAUAUAAAGAAAGGAUAAGAAAAAAUCCUUUGGACCGUUUAACAUACACACAGUGAUCUUCUUCAAUCAUCGUAAACCCAUCUUCAGUGAUGGCUCGAUGAAAUCGAAUAUACCACUGUCUGGAGGACUGCUUCAAUCCAUAAAUGGAUCGUCGGAGCUUACAAACUUUAUGCUCCUCACCCUUUACAGAGAAGCCAGUAGGCUGAUCCAUAUAGAUCUCCUCAUCCAGUUCUCCAUUGAGAAAUGCAGUUUUAACGUCCAUUUGGUAAAGAUCCAAAUCCAAAUAUGUGACAAUGGCCAAGAUCAGACGGAUCGAAGCAAACCUUACAACAGGAGAAAAAGUUUCUUCGUAAUCAACGCCUUCUCGUUGGGUAAAACCCUUUGCUACUAGGCGAGCCUUGUACCUAUCGAUAGAACCGUCUGCCUUGCGCUUAAUCUUGAGAACCCAUUUAUUCCCAAUUGUUUUGCGCCCUUGUGGCAAGUCAACCAAGUCCCAGACAUGAUUUGACUUCAUCGAUUCUAUUUCCUCCAUCAUUGCAUCCAUCCAUUCCUUAUGAGUAGGUAAUGAGAGAGCCUCUUGGAAGGAUCUAGGCUCAUCAUCAUCAUGUGCAGCAACCAUGAAAGCUUCCCCCUCAAUCUCAAAACGACGACGGGGAAUGCCUACACGUGCGCUCCUACGAAGUUGAGGCUCCACAUCUAAAGGUAAGUCGCUCCCACUAUCCCCAGGAGGUAUCGGAGUCGCCUCCUCUGCCUCAACUGAGCGAAUAGAAGCGCCAAUGUCAGAGUCAUCCAUCUCAUGGAACUCAGUUUCAUUUCGAACCUCACUUCUAUAAGGAAAAUCCUCCUCGAGGAAUUCAACAUCUCGUGACUCAAUCUCAGUCAAACUUCCAUCAGGCUGCUUUCCGAUGAACACGUAUCCCUUAGAGUGUUCAGAGUAUCUUAUAAAGAUACACUUUCUCCCUCUAGGACCCAACUUUCCAUCCUUGUGAGAAGUAUUGUGUACAUAAGCUGCCGAACCCCAAGGACGCAGGAGCUCCAAAUUUGGUUUCCUGCCUGUCCAUAAUUCAUAAGGGGUGGAAGGUACUGUUUUGGAGGGUACACGAUUAAGAAUGUAGGCAGCAGUUAACAAUGCGUCUCCCCAAAAGGAGACAGGCAAAUUUGCUUGCGCCAUCAUUGACCUAACCAUGUCAAGCAAGGUGCGAUUUCUUCUCUCCGCUACACCAUUUUGCUGCGGAGUGCCAGGAAUUGUCAGCUGUCUGAUUAUUCCCUUUUCAUCACACAAUUCCUUAAAUUGUUCAGAUAGAUACUCGCGGCCUCGAUCAGUUCUUAAGCAUUUAAUUUUCAUAUCUAACUGAUUCUCAACCUCAUUAAUAUAACGUCUAAAACAAUCCAAUGCUUCAGACUUAUGGGAGAUCAGAUAAACAUGACCGAAGCGCGUAUGGUCAUCUAUAAAUGUGAUGAAGUAAAAAGCACCAUGUCUUGCCCUCACACUCAUUGGGCCACAAAUGUCGGAAUGGAUUAAUUGUAAAGGAAAUUCUGCCCUUGAAGCUUUAUUAAAUGGUUUUCGGGUCGCUUUUCCCGCUAAACAAUGUUCACAAGUGGGUAGGUCGACUUUAGUGAGCGAGCUCAAUAACCCGUCUCUAACUAAUCUAGUCAUUCUAUCCUGCCCAAUAUGACCAAGACGUGCAUGCCAUUUAAUUGAAACAUUGUGAUCAUUCUCAACAGAAGAUAGCAGGGAAAAAGAAUCACUAUUAUUAAUAUUAUAAUCAAUGUCCAAAACCAUAAAACCAUUCGACAUAAAACCUCUUCCAUAAUAAAUAGUUCCAAGAUGAAUCUUAACUACAUCACUCUCAAAACGAAAAGAAAAGCCUAACUGUAGCAUAGCAAGAAUAGAAAACAAGUUCCGCCGAAUUCCUGGAGCAUAAAGUACAUCAUGUAGAUAUAAAGUUCGACCACCUUGCAUGAUCAACUUGUAUGUGCCAACGCCUAACACAUCGACACUUGAAUCAUUCCCCAUGUAUACUCUUCUGCUCCCAGCAGGCACGCGACGGUACUCGACGAAUCCCAUCCGAUCCCUCGCUACGUGGUCUGUUGCUCCUGAGUCUACAAUCCACACAGGGAGAGAUUCAGCAACAAACGUGUUAGAAGAAACAAAAGAGCGAGAAUCGGGAUAGUGUUGUACCUUCUUCGGCUCAGUGCAAUCACGAGCGAAGUGUCCCAGCUGAUUACAGUUGAAACAAGUCAUCUUUGACUUGUCUUUCUUGCCACCUCGUUUGCUUCUUUUUCUUUUAGUGUUCUUCGCAUUCUUAGGCGCGGAUCCGCUACGAUUUUGAGCCCCAGUAGUCCUCUUUCGCUUGAACCCAGAUGUCCUGCGAAAGUUUGACUCAGCAGCAUUGGCAGUUGGAGUUUUAACAGCCUCAAGGCGCUCUUCCUCCAACUCCAAAUGCCGCGCAACAUCCUCAAAAGUUUUGAUAUUAUCGUUAUGGGUCAAAUUUACUCGCAUAUGUUCCCACGAGAUAAGGCAUCCAUAAAAAAUUAUGUUGUGCCAAAAGAUUUCAUCCAUGCAGCAUAAAAAGCAUUAUAAUAUUUUAAAUGCAUGCUAAUAUUUUAAAAUCAUUGCAACAUAUAUCACAAAAUGCAUAUUAAUCAUCUAAUAUGCUAUAUUAAAAAAAAACUGGUGCAAAAAAGCAAAGAAGAAAAAAAAAAAAAAUUGUGCGAGUUCGCUUGUGCCCGGCCUGCUGAGCUUGGCAGUCAGCGCGCGCGACCAGCCCGCGCGCGAGGCCCGCUCGCAGCCAGAGGCGGCCCGCAAGGCUGCGCGCGGCCUAGUUGCGCAGCCACCCUGUGUGCGCGGCCCGCGUGGUCUGAUGGGCCGCACCGCCAGCCCGCAUGCAUGGGCCGCCCGCGCGGCCUGCGCGCCCCCGGGGCCUGCGCGCGGCGCACGUGCCCCGCACGCGUCUCGCGGCCUAUGCGGCCUGCGUGGCCUGCGCGGUCCGCCGCCACCGCGCGGCCCGCGGAGCCUGCGUAAUAGGCCCGCACAGCCCGCGCGGGCUGUGCGCUGUUAGCGGCGCCCCGCGCGGCCUGCGUGCGCGAGGCCCGCGCGGCUGUAGGCCCGGGUGCGCGCGGCCGCGUGCGCACGGCCCGCGCCGUAGGCCCGCGCGGCUGCGGGCCUGUGUGCCGAAGGCCGGCGCGGCCUGCGUGAGCGAGGCCCGCGCGGUCCGCGCAGCCGGCCCGCAGCCCGUGCGGCCUGCGCGGUCUGCGCGCGGCGGGGUCACCAUGUUUUUUUUUUUUUUUUUUUUUUUUUUUUUUUUUUUUUUGUUUAAAGAUUAGGAAUCUUUAAAAAAUAUAUCUUUAUGAUUUGGAAAUCCGAACAUGCAAGAAAUAUUUCAAAAGAAACUUUGCGAGGAGCCUUCCACAUCAUGCAAGAUUCGCAUAUAAGAUAUCCAUCACACAUCAAACAAGACACCUCAAAAAAAUCGUUUAGGUUUCGUUUUUCUUAUAAAACACAAAACCGUAUAUAAAACUCAACUUGCUUGUAAAUAAAAACUACAAUUUCGGUGCUUCAAGAUGUGUAAAAACAUACAAAGAUAUCCACUUUAUGAAAAACACGGUCAUGAACAUCGCAUACAUGCAAGAAAAAAUCUAAAACAUGAUAGAAUUUAAUUUAAUUGCAUGUAAUCUCAUUAAAGGAUGUAUACAAGACACGAAAUCAACCAAAAAAGGCUCUGAUACCAAUUGAGAUCGCAGGCGAAGUAUUCGUUCGUACCUUUUUCGGAAGCGAUUUGGCUAACAAGCGGAUCAGCCCAUGUGUAUUUAGUUAUAUAUAUUUUGAUGUCUAGGGUGUCCUGGAUCGUCCUUGAUAUGUUUUAUCUCCUCUUUAUCUGUAAACUUGCGGACUAAUCGAACUACACCGUGAGCUUGGAUUCGCAAAUCCACCGUGCAAGUCCCUCUAGAAUAAUAGGUCAAUGGAGGAUGUGGUUUCUCGCUAUUAUUUUCUUAUUCUCUCUCUGUUUCCGUUCUUUUCGUGUAUACCGUUAUGUGGGAUCGCCCGCAUAUUUAUAAGGAAUUUCAAAAUCCUAAUAGCGUUAGAGAUAAGGCCAAAUCGGUUAUUAUUUGUUAUCCUAAUAUGAUUAGAUUUAUCUCUAAUUAGCUUUCUAAUUUGAAAGCGAGAUUAAUCCUAAUCCAAUUAGAUAACAUAAUAUCCGUCGGAUCGAACCCGCUUAUGGGCGUACCCGAUUCGAUUUAACCGAAUGCCAACAAUUAAUUUUGUAUUCUCUAUUAACAUUUUGCUUCUUUUUCUCAAAAACACUAACAAUUUAAACCAACAUU